rnacentral:rRNA from 1 species
GACGAACGCUGGCGGCGUGCUUAACACAUGCAAGUCGAACGAUGAAGCUGGAGCUUGCUCCGGUGGAUUAGUGGCGAACGGGUGAGUAAUACGUGAGCAAUAUGCCCUUGACUAUGGGAUAACUGCGGGACACUGUAGCUAAUAACGGAUCCUUUCACUGGAAGGCAUCUUACGGUGAAGAAAGAAUUUCGGUCAAGGAUAAGUUCGCGGACUAUCGGCGUGUUGGUGAGGUAACGGCUCACCAAGGCGAAGACGGAUAGCCGGCCUGAGAGGGUGUCGGGCCACACUGGGACUGAGACACGGCCCAGACGCCUACGGGGGGCAGCAGUGGGGAAGAUUGUACAAUGGGCGCAAGCCUGAUGCAGCAACGCCGCGUGAGGGAUGAAGGGCUUCGGGUUGUAAACCUCUUUUAGCAGGGAAGAAGCGAAAGUGACGGUACCUGCAGAAAAAGCACCGGCUAACUACGUGCCAGCCGCCGCAGUAA